CAUGGCUCAGGACGAACGCUGGCGGCGUGCUUAACACAUGCAAGUCGAACGAUGAAGGGGAGCUUGCUCCUUGGAUUAGUGGCGAACGGGUGAGUAACACGUGAGUAACCUGCCCUGGACUCUGGGAUAACCCCGAGAAAUCGGAGCUAAUACCGGAUAGGACCUUGGAUCGCAUGAUCUGGGGUGGAAAGUUUUUCGGUCUGGGAUGGACUCGCGGCCUAUCAGCUUGUUGGUGAGGUAAUGGCUCACCAAGGCGUCGACGGGUAGCCGGCCUGAGAGGGUGACCGGCCACACUGGGACUGAGACACGGCCCAGACUCCUACGGGAGGCAGCAGUGGGGAAUAUUGCACAAUGGGCGCAAGCCUGAUGCAGCAACGCCGCGUGCGGGAUGACGGCCUUCGGGUUGUAAACCGCUUUUAGUAAGGAAGAAGGGGAGCUUGCU
rnacentral:rRNA from 1 species